rnacentral:rRNA from 1 species
AUGCCCUCUGAAUUUGAGAGUAGUGUUAAAGAGUUUAUGAAUUCACAAAAGAAUUUUAAUGCUUUGCUUGAAGAGAAAUUGCUUAAAGUUGAUGAUUUGGCUAGGAACGUUGAUAGAAUUUCUGUUGAAAUUGAUUCUUUAAAGCUUAGAUCUAUUCCUCCUAAGCAUGAUAUCAAUGAGUCUCUCAAAGCCAUGAGAAUUUCCAUUGAUGAGUGCAAGGAAAGAACCGCUAGGAUGCGUUCUUCCAGAGAUGCCUUUAUUAAAGCGUGUUCUUCCAAUCCCUAUGAAAAUCAAGAUGAAGAUCUAAAAGUUAUUGAUGUGUCCCCCAUUAAAUCUUUGUUUUGCAAUAUGAAUCUUGAUGAAUCUGAAUAUGAUCUUCCUUUACCUAGAAGGCGUUCUAAGAAUUCAGAGUUUCUAGAUCUUGAUGAUGAAAUUGAUGAAAGUGGGAUUGAAAUAAAUAAAAACUGUGAUGUUGCUAAACCCACUAUUUUGGAUCUCAAGGAAUUUAAUUAUGAAAAUUUCUCUUUGAUUGGUUGUAUUUCCUUGUUGCAAUCCGUGUUAGAUUCUCCUCAUGCUUAUAGUAAAAAUAAAGCCUUUACCGAACACAUUGUUGAUGCCUCGAUGCAAUCUUGUGAAGAAAAACUUGAGUUGAAAGUUUCUAUCCCUAGAAAACUCUAUGAUGAAUGGGAACCUACUAUUAAAAUUAAGAUUAAAGAUUUUGAGUUUCAUGCUUUGUGUCAUUUGGGUGCUAGCGUCUCUACUAUUCCCAAAACUUUAUGUGAUUUGCUAGAUUUCCGUGAUUUUGAUGAUUGCUCUCUAAACUUGCAUCUUGCGGAUUCCACUAUUAAAAACCCUAUGGGAAGAAUUAAUGAUGUUCUUAUUGUUGCAAAUAGGAAUUAUGUGCCCGUAGAUUUUAUCUUCUUGAUAUAG